UACGUAGGGGGCAAGCGUUGUCCGGAAUCAUUGGGCGUAAAGAGCGUGUAGGCGGCCCGAUAAGUCCGCUGUGAAAGUCCAGGGCUCAACCCUGGAAUGCCGGUGGAUACUGUCGGGCUCGAAUCCGGAAGAGGUGAGUGGAAUUCCUGGUGUAGCGGUGAAAUGCGCAGAUAUCAGGAAGAACACCAAUGGCGAAAGCAGGUCU
rnacentral:rRNA from 1 species